CGGCCCGGCCGGGCAAACCGGUGGAGAGGAGGUGGCAACGCCGCGUAGGACCACGGUCCGUGCUAAUGUUAGCCGGCCCGGCCGGGCAAACCGGUGGAGAGAAGGUGGCAACGCCGCGUAGGAGACCGUAGAAGCAGAUCCUAAUCCUAAUCCAAUUACGUCUUGGCGGAGGGGUCUCGAAGGUCUUGGAAAGCCCUCCUCCCCACGCUACACCGUGCUCCGCGCCGCCAGCCUCGCCUUCCAGGUGCUGGAGUACCUGCCACGCGCCGCGGCCCGGGUCGCCGCGAUGCGGAUGGAGCGGGCGGCGGCGCCGCUAGGCGUGGUCAGGGAGGUCCAGAGGCCGCGGGCCACGGCGCAGGUGGCGCUGCUGAGUGAUAUAGUCCGGUGGCUCCUGGUCGUCCCUAACUAUGGUACCUUGCCCUUUGUUCUAUAAGACUAACUGUCUAAACUACCGGCACGUGAUGAACUGAAGUAGGCACUGAGAUCGGGAGCCAGAAAAGUUUGAGUCCUUUUUAGACUUCUUCUCCUCCUCGAUCUCCUAAAACAAUUAAAACUUGCAAUGGCCCUGAACUAAUUCGUAGCAGCAUCUCCUACAGCCAUGGAAAAACCAAAGAGUUAAAACAACGACAACAACAUACUAAACGACAGUGAGAAGGUAAACGAAUGAAUACCCAAGCAGGACUACAUUUCCUAGAGUGAAAAGGUAGACAGACCAGAAAAGUGAAAGAUUACGAUGGAUGGGUCUGUCAAUAAACGGAAGGAGACGUCAAAGACUACUCCGCCCAAAUGUUGUAUAACGCGUUCUCAACCGUCGUUUUCGAUAAGAAGGAAAAUCGAAACUCUUUAGAGUUAGUAGUGUCCGAGGUCAAUCGUUUCCACGAAUAAGCGUCCAACCUAUGAGUAUAUUUCCCCUACCUUUACUUGUAAGACUACACGGGUCACUACUACUUCUACUUCUCCUUCCUCUUCUCCUACCGUUCCUGAAGUCAUCACUACUAUCGUCACUACUCGUUUACCUUUUGAAUCGUUUCCUUAAACCGUAUUUUUCUAUAUUGACCGAACAAAUGUACCUGUUUUUCCAGUUUCUUCUCCUCUUCGCCGUCUUUCUUUAAUAAUUUCCGCUGGGUAGGUAAUUUUUUUACUCAGCCUCUCUAUCUUCCUUCCGAAGAGUUAGACUCUCCCUCGCUCUCUCCCUCCGUCAUGCAAGACAACCUUCCCAUAGAAUAGCACUGGGAAUAUCCCUUGUUUCCUCUUCGGGUAGUAUACUUCGUAUAAGUUCUCCGUCUUAUAGUUCCAGCGCCAGUUCUAGAGUAAGUGGAAGUAGGUCUGCAGUAUGGGCACCAUGUGUACGACUAUCAUUAAUGGCUUCGUUCCGAUUCGGAGGUUCUCAACUUAUGUAGUGACUUAAACCUCCAAGUCUUCUACGGUCACUAGACUUUCAAUGUCCCUAGAGAGGCGGAAGCAGAGGUUAUGCUCGACUGUAUGGAUUGGCCAGUAGUCCACAGGUAUAAGACCUCCGUGAAGUGUCACUAGGACGUAGAAGAAAUAGGUACCUUGUCCUUUUUUCACGAUUUUAAAACUUUGGUGGACGGUCGUGUAGUAGUCGUGAUCGCUUUGAUUUCCCACGAAGACCUCCUGAACCAUUUUGAGGGGUCCGACUUUUCUUUCUUUGUGGUGUCCUUGCAGAAUUUUCCUAUUACUCGUUUGUCGAAUUGUUUGUUUAAGCCUUUCUGUGACGACGACUCUGGCGUUUCUUUGCUCUUGUCCUUGCCGUUUCCGUCCUUUUUGAACGUCUUCAUCCAGCUAUGUCCGAGGCAUCGUCCUCAUCUUCAGAAUCGGCAAGUGGUUCUUUCGCCGUAAUAUCGUCUUCGGCAUCAUCCUCGGCUUCGGGUUCUUCUUUGGUAAGUGAAAGUGACAGAACAAGUUCCAGUGGGAGAGUGAGAGGUUCCAUGUCUUCGUCUAGUUCCGUGACUUUCAUAGAGUCUUGAGUAACCAACAGAUACCACGCACCACGAAUUAAAAAUAAAUGAAUCCGAAGGACCACGGGACAAUGAAUACAUGGCUAGUCGCUUCAGGACCUAGGGUAGUAACAACUAUCCCAUCUCAGUCACAUAAACACUAACACUAUAAAUACUCGUCUUAUAGCAGGUUCUCCACGCACUGAGAAUAAUGCACCCGACAUAACAACUAUCUAAUCCAACACGGCCAACGAGAUCUCAUAAUCCCGAGGAGGUUACGACUGGGGG
rnacentral:rRNA from 1 species